GUGCCAGCCGCCGCGGUAAUACGGAGGGGGUUAGCGUUGUUCGGAAUUACUGGGCGUAAAGCGCGCGUAGGCGGACAUUUAAGUCAGGGGUGAAAUCCCGGGGCUCAACCCCGGAACUGCCCUUGAUACUGGGUGUCUUGAGUUCGAGAGAGGUGAGUGGAACUCCGAGUGUAGAGGUGAAAUUCGUAGAUAUUCGGAGGAACACCAGUGGCGAAGGCGGCUCACUGGCUCGAUACUGACGCUGAGGUGCGAAAGUGUGGGGAGCAAACAGGAUUAGAUACCCGAGUAGUCC
rnacentral:rRNA from 1 species